rnacentral:rRNA from 1 species
UCCUGGCUCAGGAUGAACGCUGGCGGCGUGCCUAACACAUGCAAGUCGAACGGAGUUUUGUGAGGGAAGUCUACGGAUGGACGUUAUAAAACUUAGUGGCGGACGGGUGAGUAACGCGUGGGCAACCUGCCGUAUACAGGGGGAUAACAACUGGAAACAGUUGCUAACACCGCAUAAGCGCACGGUACCGCAUGGUACCGAGUGAAAAUCUCCGGAGGUAUACGAUGGGCCCGCGUCUGAUUAGCCAGUUGGUGGGGUAACGGCCUACCAAAGCGACGAUCAGUAGCCGGCCUGAGAGGGUGGACGGCCACAUUGGGACUGAGACACGGCCCAAACUCCUACGGGAGGCAGCAGUGGGGGAUAUUGCACAAUGGGGGAAACCCUGAUGCAGCGACGCCGCGUGAGUGAAGAAGCAAUUCGUUGCGUAAAGCUCUAUCAGCAGGGAAGAAGAAAUGACGGUACCUGAAUAAGAAGCCCCGGCUAACUACGUGCCAGCAGCCGCGGUAAUACGUAGGGGGCAAGCGUUAUCCGGAUUUACUGGGUGUAAAGGGAGCGUAGACGGCAGUGCAAGUCCGAUGUGAAAACCCGGGGCUCAACCCUGGGAGUGCAUUGGAAACUGUACGGCUGGAGUGCAGGAGAGGUAAGCGGAAUUCCUGGUGUAGCGGUGAAAUGCGUAGAUAUCAGGAGGAACACCAGUGGCGAAGGCGGCUUACUGGACUGUAACUGACGUUGAGGCUCGAAAGCGUGGGGAGCAAACAGGAUUAGAUACCCUGGUAGUCCACGCUGUAAA